CAGUGUUUGAGAGGUGGCUUGAUGUCUGACCAGCUGUUCAGCACCAAGAGACACCUGCGUGCUCAACAGUCAGGGCUGGAAGUGGCUGGCAGACAGGUCUGCCUUAGGGUAGCUAUCAGAAUUCCGGGGAUGACCAAGAUAAAAGCUGGAGAAUGGAGAAAAGUUGAAGUGAAUGAGCUUGAUAUGUGGAAGGCAGCAGUGGACAGCUCUCAAGUCAUCAUCAGAAUCCAGCAAGACGACAAAGCAAGAGCCACUCAGAAGACACUAGGCUAAAGUGAGGUUGGUCACAACAAUAUUAUGCCUUGGAGUUCUUCUAGCCAACAGGGCCGACGAAAAUGGCGACUCUUCGUCAGAAGAAAACUUCUGUCCUGGUAAUGGACCUGGUGUGUGCCAAAGAGGCUACUAAAA